AUGGACCAGGGUGAUCUCCUACUGUAUCAUAGGUCUAUGGACCAGGGUGAUCUCCUGCUCUAUCAUAGGUCUAUAGACCAGGGUGAUCUCCUACUGUAUCAUAGAUCUAUAGACCAGGGUGGUUUCUUACUAUAUCAUAGGUCUAUAGACCAGGGUGAUCUCCUACUGUAUCAUAGGUCUAUAGACCAGGGUGAUCUCCUACUGUAUCAUAGGCCUAUAGACCAGGGUGAUCUCCUACUGCAUCAUAGGUCUAUAGACCAGAGUGAUCUCCUACUGUAUCAUAGGUCUAUAUACCAGGGUGAUCUCCUACUGUAUCAUAGGUCUACAGACCAGGGUGAUCUCCUACUGUAUCAUAGGUCUAUAGACCAGGGUGAUCUCCUACUGUAUCAUAGGCCUAUAGACCAGGGUGAUCUCCUACUGCAUCAUAGGUCUAUAGAACAGGGUGAUCUACUACUGCAUCAUAGGUCUAUGGACCAGGGUGAUCUCCUACUGUAUCAUAGGUCUAUAGACCAGGGUGAUCUCCUACUGUAUAAUAGGCCUAUAGACCAGUGUGAUCUGCUACUGUAUCAUAGGUCUAUAGACCAGGGUGAUCUCCUACUGUAUCAUAGGCCUAUGGACCAGGGUGAUCUCCUACUGUAUCAUAGGUCUAUGGACCAGGGUGAUCUCCUGCUCUAUCAUAGGUCUAUAGACCAGGGUGAUCUCCUACUGUAUCAUAGAUCUAUAGACCAGGGUGGUUUCCUACUAUAUCAUAGGUCUAUAGACCAGGGUGAUCUCCUACUGUAUCAUAGGUCUAUAGACCAGGGUGAUCUCCUACUGUAUCAUAGGCCUAUAGACCAGGGUGAUCUCCUACUGCAUCAUAGGUCUAUAGACCAGAGUGAUCUUCUACUGUAUCAUAGGUCUAUAGACCAGGGUGAUCUCCUACUGUAUCAUAGGUCUAUAGACCAGGUUGUUCUCCUACUGUAUCAUAGGUCUAUAGACCAAGGCGAUCUCCUACUGUAUCAUAGGUCUAUAGACCAGGGUGAUAUCCUACUGCAUCGUAGGUCUAUAGACCAGGGUGAUCUACUACUGCAUCAUAGGUCUAUAGACCAGGGUGAUCUCCUACUGUAUCAAAGGUCUAUAGACCAAGGCGAUCUUCUACUGUAUCAUAGGUCUAUAGACCAGGGUGAUAUCCUACUGCAUCAUAGGUCUAUAGACCAGGGUGAUCUACUACUGCAUCAUAGGUCUAUAGACCUACUGUAUCAUAGGUCUAUAGACCAGAGUGAUCUCCUACUGUAUCAUAGGUCUAUAGACCAGGGUGAUCUCCUACUGUAUCAUAGGCCUAUAGACCAGGGUGAUCUCCUACUGCAUCAUAGGUCUAUAGACCAGAGUGAUCUCCUACUGUAUCAUAGGUCUAUAUACCAGGGUGAUCUCCUACUGUAUCAUAGGUCUAUGGACCAGGGUGAUCUCCUACUGUAUCAUAGGUCUAUGGACCAGGGUGAUCUCCUGCUCUAUCAUAGGUCUAUAGACCAGGGUGAUCUCCUACUGUAUCAUAGAUCUAUAGACCAGGGUGGUUUCCUACUAUAUCAUAGGUCUAUAGACCAGGGUGAUCUCCUACUGUAUCAUAGGUCUAUAGACCAGGGUGAUCUCCUACUGUAUCAUAGGCCUAUAGACCAGGGUGAUCUCCUACUGCAUCAUAGGUCUAUAGACCAGAGUGAUCUUCUACUGUAUCAUAGGUCUAUAGACCAGGGUGAUCUCCUACUGUAUCAUAGGUCUAUAGACCAGGUUGUUCUCCUACUGUAUCAUAGGUCUAUAGACCAAGGCGAUCUCCUACUGUAUCAUAGGUCUAUAGACCAGGGUGAUAUCCUACUGCAUCGUAGGUCUAUAGACCAGGGUGAUCUACUACUGCAUCAUAGGUCUAUAGACCAGGGUGAUCUCCUACUGUAUCAAAGGUCUAUAGACCAAGGCGAUCUUCUACUGUAUCAUAGGUCUAUAGACCAGGGUGAUAUCCUACUGCAUCAUAGGUCUAUAGACCAGGGUGAUCUACUACUGCAUCAUAGGUCUAUAGACCUACUGUAUCAUAGGUCUAUAGACCAGAGUGAUCUCCUACUGUAUCAUAGGUCUAUAGACCAGGGUGAUCUCCUACUGUAUCAUAGGCCUAUAGACCAGGGUGAUCUCCUACUGCAUCAUAGGUCUAUAGACCAGAGUGAUCUCCUACUGUAUCAUAGGUCUAUAUACCAGGGUGAUCUCCUACUGUAUCAUAGGUCUACAGACCAGGGUGAUCUCCUACUGUAUCAUAGGUCUAGAGACCAAGGUGAUCUCCUACUGUAUCAUAGGUCUAUAGAACAGGGUGAUCUACUACUGCAUCAUAGGUCUAUGGACCAGGGUGAUCUCCUACUGUAUCAUAGGUCUAUAGACCAGGGUGAUCUCCUACUGUAUAAUAGGCCUAUAGACCAGUGUGAUCUGCUACUGUAUCAUAGGUCUAUAGACCAGGGUGAUCUCCUACUGUAUCAUAGGCCUAUGGACCAGGGUGAUCUCCUACUGUAUCAUAGGUCUAUGGACCAGGGUGAUCUCCUGCUCUAUCAUAGGUCUAUAGACCAGGGUGAUCUCCAACUGUAUCAUAGAUCUAUAGACCAGGGUGGUUUCCUACUAUAUCAUAGGUCUAUAGACCAGGGUGAUCUCCUACUGUAUCAGAGGCCUAUAGACCAGGGUGAUCUCCUACUGCAUCAUAGGUCUAUAGACCAGAGUGAUCUCCUACUGUAUCAUAGGUCUAUAGACCAGGGUGAUCUCCUACUGUAUCAUAGGUCUAUAGACCAGGUUGUUCUCCUACUGUAUCAUAGGUCUAUAGACCAAGGCGAUCUCCUACUGUAUCAUAGGUCUAUAGACCAGGGUGAUAUCCUACUGCAUCGUAGGUCUAUAGACCAGGGUGAUCUACUACUGCAUCAUAGGUCUAUAGACCAGGGUGAUCUCCUACUGUAUCAUAGGUCUAUAGACCAAGGCGAUCUUCUACUGUAUCAUAGGUCUAUAGACCAGGGUGAUAUCCUACUGCAUCAUAGGUCUAUAGACCAGGGUGAUCUACUACUGCAUCAUAGGUCUAUAGACCUACUGUAUCAUAGGUCUAUAGACCAGAGUGAUCUCCUACUGUAUAAUAGGCCAAUAGACCAGGGUGAACUCCUACUGUAUCAUAGGUCUAUGGAUCAGGGUGAUAUCCUGCUGUAUAAUAGGUAUAUAGACCAGAGUGAUCUCCUACUGUAUAAUAGGCCAAUAGACCAGGGUGAUCUCCUACUGUAUCAUAGGUCUAUAUACCAGGGUGAUCUCCUACUGUAUCAUAGGUCUACAGACCAGGGUGAUCUCCUACUGUAUCAUAGGUCUAGAGACCAAGGUGAUCUCCUACUGUAUCAUAGGUCUAUAGAACAGGGUGAUCUACUACUGCAUCAUAGGUCUAUGGACCAGGGUGAUCUCCUACUGUAUCAUAGGUCUAUAGACCAGGGUGAUCUCCUACUGUAUAAUAGGCCUAUAGACCAGUGUGAUCUGCUACUGUAUCAUAGGUCUAUAGACCAGGGUGAUCUCCUACUGUAUCAUAGGCCUAUGGACCAGGGUGAUCACCUACUGUAUCAUAGGUCUAUGGACCAGGGUGAUCUCCUGCUCUAUCAUAGGUCUAUAGACCAGGGUGAUCUCCUACUGUAUCAUAGAUCUAUAGACCAGGGUGGUUUCCUACUAUAUCAUAGGUCUAUAGACCAGGGUGAUCUCCUACUGUAUCAUAGGUCUAUAGACCAGGGUGAUCUCCUACUGUAUCAGAGGCCUAUAGACCAGGGUGAUCUCCUACUGCAUCAUAGGUCUAUAGACCAGGUUGUUCUCCUACUGUAUCAUAGGUCUAUAGACCAAGGCGAUCUCCUACUGUAUCAUAGGUCUAUAGACCAGGGUGAUAUCCUACUGCAUCGUAGGUCUAUAGACCAGGGUGAUCUACUACUGCAUCAUAGGUCUAUAGACCAGGGUGAUCUCCUACUGUAUCAUAGGUCUAUAGACCAAGGCGAUCUUCUACUGUAUCAUAGGUCUAUAGACCAGGGUGAUAUCCUACUGCAUCAUAGGUCUAUAGACCAGGGUGAUCUACUACUGCAUCAUAGGUCUAUAGACCUACUGUAUCAUAGGUCUAUAGACCAGAGUGAUCUCCUACUGUAUAAUAGGCCAAUAGACCAGGGUGAACUCCUACUGUAUCAUAGGUCUAUGGACCAGGGUGAUAUCCUGCUGUAUAAUAGGUAUAUAGACCAGAGUGAUCUCCUACUGUAUAAUAGGCCAAUAGACCAGGGUGAUCUCCUACUGUAUCAUAGGUCUAUAGACCAGGGUGAUCUCCUGCUCUAUCAUAGGUCUAUAGACCAGGGUGAUCUCCUACUGUAUCAUAGAUCUAUAGACCAGGGUGGUUUCCUACUAUAUCAUAGGUCUAUAGACCAGGGUGAUCUCCUACUGUAUCAUAUGUUUAUAGACCAGGGUGAUCUCCUACUGUAUCAUAUUCCUAUAGACCAGGGUGAUCUCCUACUGCAUCUUAGGUCUAUAGACCAGAGUGAUCUCCUACUGUAUCAUAGGUCUAUAGACCAGGGUGAUCUCCUACUGUAUCAUAGGUCUAUAGACCAGGUUGUUCUCCAACUGUAUCAUAGGUCUAUAGACCAAGGCGAUCUCCUACUGUAUCAUAGGUCUAUAGACCAGGGUGAUAUCCUACUGCAUCCUAGGUCUAUAGACCAGGGUGAUCUACUACUGCAUCAUAGGUCUAUAGACCAGGGUGAUCUCCUACUGUAUCAUAGGUCUAUAGACCAAGGCGAUCUUCUACUGUAUCAUAGGUCUAUAGACCAGGGUGAUAUCCUACUGCAUCUUAGGUCUAUAGACCAGGGUGAUCUCCUACUGCAUCAUAGGUCUAUAGACCAGAGUGAUCUCCUACUGUAUAAUAGGCCUAUAGACCAGGGUGAUCUCCUACGGUAUCAUAGGCCUAUGGACCAUGGUGAUCUCCUACUGUAUCAUAGGUCUAUGGACCAGGGUGAUCUCCUGCUCUAUCAUAGGUCUAUAGACCAGGGUGAUCUCCUACUGCAUCAUAGGUCUAUAGACCAGAGUGAUCUCCUACUGUAUCAUAGGUCUAUAGACCAGGGUGAUCUCCUACUAUAUCAUAGGUCUAUAGACCAGGGUGAUCACCUACUGUAUCAUAGGUCUAUGGACCAGGGUGAUCUACUACUGCAUCAUAGGUCUAUAGACCAGGGUGAUCUCCUACUGUAUCAUAGGUCUAUAGACCAAGGCGAUCUUCUACUGUAUCAUAGGUCUAUAGACCAGGGUGAUAUCCUACUGCAUCAUAGGUCUAUAGACCAGGGUGAUCUACUACUGCAUCAUAGGUCUAUAGACCUACUGUAUCAUAGGUCUAUAGACCAGAGUGAUCUCCUACUGUAUAAUAGGCCAAUAGACCAGGGUGAACUCCUACUGUAUCAUAGGUCUAUGGACCAGGGUGAUAUCCUGCUGUAUAAUAGGUAUAUAGACCAGAGUGAUCUCCUACUGUAUAAUAGGCCAAUAGACCAGGGUGAUCUCCUACUGUAUCAUAGGUCUAUAGACCAGGGUGAUCUCCUGCUCUAUCAUAGGUCUAUAGACCAGGGUGAUCUCCUACUGUAUCAUAGAUCUAUAGACCAGGGUGGUUUCCUACUAUAUCAUAGGUCUAUAGACCAGGGUGAUCUCCUACUGUAUCAUAUGUUUAUAGACCAGGGUGAUCUCCUACUGUAUCAUAUUCCUAUAGACCAGGGUGAUCUCCUACUGCAUCUUAGGUCUAUAGACCAGAGUGAUCUCCUACUGUAUCAUAGGUCUAUAGACCAGGGUGAUCUCCUACUGUAUCAUAGGUCUAUAGACCAGGUUGUUCUCCAACUGUAUCAUAGGUCUAUAGACCAAGGCGAUCUCCUACUGUAUCAUAGGUCUAUAGACCAGGGUGAUAUCCUACUGCAUCCUAGGUCUAUAGACCAGGGUGAUCUACUACUGCAUCAUAGGUCUAUAGACCAGGGUGAUCUCCUACUGUAUCAUAGGUCUAUAGACCAAGGCGAUCUUCUACUGUAUCAUAGGUCUAUAGACCAGGGUGAUAUCCUACUGCAUCUUAGGUCUAUAGACCAGGGUGAUCUCCUACUGCAUCAUAGGUCUAUAGACCAGAGUGAUCUCCUACUGUAUAAUAGGCCUAUAGACCAGGGUGAUCUCCUACGGUAUCAUAGGCCUAUGGACCAUGGUGAUCUCCUACUGUAUCAUAGGUCUAUGGACCAGGGUGAUCUCCUGCUCUAUCAUAGGUCUAUAGACCAGGGUGAUCUCCUACUGCAUCAUAGGUCUAUAGACCAGAGUGAUCUCCUACUGUAUCAUAGGUCUAUAGACCAGGGUGAUCUCCUACUAUAUCAUAGGUCUAUAGACCAGGGUGAUCUCCUACUGUAUCAUAGGUCUAUAGACCAGAGUGAUCUCCUACUGUAUAAUAGGCCAAUAGACCAGGGUGAUCUCCUACUGUAUCAUAGGUCUAUGGACCAGGGUGAUCUCCUACUGUAUAAUAGGCCUAUAGACCAGGGUGAUCUCCUACUGUAUAAUAGGCCUAUAGACCAGGGUGAUCUCCUACUGUAUUAUAGGUCUAUAGACCGGGCGUGA
rnacentral:lncRNA from 1 species